AACGAACGCUGGCGGCAGGCUUAACACAUGCAAGUCGAACGGGCGUAGCAAUACGUCAGUGGCAGACGGGUGAGUAACACGUGGGAACCUUCCUAGGGGUACGGAACAACUCAGGGAAACUUGAGCUAAUACCGUAUACGUCCGUAAGGAGAAAGAUUCAUCGCCCCUAGACGGGCCCGCGUCGGAUUAGGUAGUUGGUGGGGUAACGGCCUACCAAGCCUACGAUCCGUAGCUGAUCUGAGAGGAUGAUCAGCCACACUGGGACUGAGACACGGCCCAGACUCCUACGGGAGGCAGCAGUGGGGAAUCUUGGACAAUGGGCGCAAGCCUGAUCCAGCCAUGCCGCGUGAGUGAAGAAGGCCUUAGGGUUGU
rnacentral:rRNA from 1 species